rnacentral:rRNA from 1 species
ACGGAAGGCAGCAGUAGGGAAUAUUGCACAAUGGGGGAAACCCUGAUGCAGCGACGCCGCGUGAGUGAUGAAGUAUUUCGGUACGUAAAGCUCUAUCAGCAGGGAAGAUAAUGACGGUACCUGACUAAGAAGCCCCGGCUGACUACGUGCCAGCAGCCGCGGUAAUACGUAGGGGGCAAGCGUUAUCCGGAUUUACUGGGUGUAAAGGGAGUGUAGGUGGUCUGGCAAGCCAGAUGUGAAAGCCCGGGGCUCAACCCCGAGGACUGCAUUUGGAACUGUCGGACUUGAGUGCAGGAGAGGAAAGUGGAAUUCCUAGUGUAGCGGUGAAAUGCGUAGAUAUUAGGAGGAACACCGGAGGCGAAGGCGGCUUACUGGACUGUAACUGACGUUGAGGCUCGAAAGCGUGGGGAGCAAACAGGAUUAGAUACCCUGGUA